CGUGGGGCAGUAGGGGUGUAGCAAUACAUCUGCUGGCGACCGGCAAUAGGUGCGUUAACUCGUACGCAACCUUCCCGGUUACUGUGGCAUAGCCCAGGGAAACUUGGAUUAAUACCACAUAUCAUAUUGAGGAGGCAUCUCUUUGAUAUCAAAGUUUCGGCGGUAACUGACGGGCGUGCGGAUGAUUAGGUAGUUGGCGGGGUAACGGUCCACCAAGCCUACGAUC
rnacentral:rRNA from 1 species